UGCGCAAGGCUUGAAUGGAGUCGGGUUUGGAGGAUUAGAAGGUCGGGAAGGGAAGGACUCGCAGGCAUAUUUACGAACGCAAAGUUGCUAGGAGUUGGUACCAGCGUUUGGGAGGUAGAGGUGGCGCUCAUGCGUAUUUGAGACAACAUCUGGAUGGUUGGGGAGAACGGUGAUGCCACACUCAAUCAGAAACUAUGCUACUGUUGAAGAGGCAUAUUGAGCUCUGCCUGGUUAACCUCCAGUGAGGUUGUUAGAGAAUUGGGAGAGGCUCAAAUCAGCAUCCUGCACCUAGUUAUCAAACAAUUGUGAAGUCUUGCAAGUUCAUCAGAGGGCGAGGAUGAAUUACGGUUGCUAUGAAUGUCCUUGUGAGGCAGUUGGGAAGCCUUGGCUGGAUUGUGAAGGAUAUUUGAAAAGUAUUUUAGACUCCACCAGAUCAUCCAUGUGAGUGACCAUGCAGCAAAAGAAGGAGGGUCCUCUCAGUGAUUAAGGUAACAUAGUGAUUAAGGAUUAUGAAGUAUUAAUUCUUCCACUGAUAUCUCAAAAGGUGAUCUGGACAAAGGAACAGGUAUCUCAG
rnacentral:lncRNA from 1 species